UACGGAGGGUGCGAGCGUUGUCCGGAAUCAUUGGGCGUAAAGGGCGCGUAGGUGGCCCGCUCAGCGUGCGGUGAAAGCUCGGGGCUCAACCCCGAGUCGGCCGUGCGAACUGGUGGGCUGGAGCACUGGUAGAGGCAGGCGGAAUUCCGGGUGUAGCGGUGGAAUGCGUAGAGAUCCGGAAGAACACCGGUGGCGAAGGCGGCCUGCUGGGCAGUGCUGACACUGAGGCGCGACAGCGUGGGGAGCAAACAGG
rnacentral:rRNA from 1 species